rnacentral:rRNA from 1 species
UACGAAGGGUGCAAACGUUGCUCGGAAUCAUUGGGCGUAAAGCGCACGUAGGCGGCUUGUUAAGUCGGACGUGAAAUCCCUCAGCUCAACUGAGGACGUGCAUCCGAAACUGGCGAGCUUGAGUACUGAAGAGGAUCGCGGAAUUCCCAGUGUAGAGGUGAAAUUCGUAGAUAUCGGGAGGAACACCAGUGGCGAAGGCGGCGAUCUGGGCAGAUACUGACGCUGAGGUGCGAAAGCGUGGGGAGCAAACAGG